UUAAAAAAUUUGGCAGUAUUUUUUAAAAUUAGAGGAUUUUGUUAUGUAAUAGAUAAUACACUAUAAAAUUUAUUUAAUUUUUUCUUUUUAUUGUAUAUUGUUGUCUUUAGUUAAUUUUAAUUAAAAAUUAGUCAAUAUUAUUAUAUUAAAUUUUAAUAAUUAAAGUCAAAUCAUCAUGCAUAUUAUAAUUAAAUAUUAAAUGAAAUACAUUAUUUAUAGAUAUGAAUUUAAAUUUGUAAAAUUUUAAUGAAAUUGGAUUUAAUAGUAAAUUUUAAUAAAUUUUAAAUUUGAAUUAUAUUAAAAAUAUGUACAAAUUGCCCGUCGUUUUUAAUUUAAAUUAAAAUAAGUCGUAACAUAGUA
rnacentral:rRNA from 1 species